rnacentral:rRNA from 1 species
GCAUAUCAAUAAGCGGAGGAAAAGAAACCAACAGGGAUUGCCCUAGUAACGGCGAGUGAAGCGGCAACAGCUCAAAAUUUGAAAUCUGGCUUUCGGGCCCGAGUUGUAAUUUGUAGAGGAUGAUUUUGAUGCGGUGCCUUCCGAGUUCCCUGGAACGGGACGCCAUAGAGGGUGAGAGCCCCGUCUGGUUGGAUGCCAAAUCUCUGUAAAUCUCCUUCGACGAGUCGAGUAGUUUGGGAAUGCUGCUCUAAAUGGGAGGUAUAUGUCUUCUAAAGCUAAAUACCGGCCAGAGACCGAUAGCGCACAAGUAGAGUGAUCGAAAGAUGAAAAGCACUUUGAAAAGAGAGUUAAAAAGUACGUGAAAUUGUUGAAAGGGAAGCGUUUAUGACCAGACUUGGGCUUGGUUAAUCAUCUGGGGUUCUCUCCAGUGCACUUUUCCAGCCCAGGCCAGCAUCAGUUUUCGCCGGGGGAUAAAGACUUCGGGAAUGUGGCUCCCCUCGGGGAGUGUUAUAGCCCGUUGUGUAAUACCCUGGUGGGGACUGAGGUUCGCGCUUCUGCAAGGAUGCUGGCGUAAUGGUCAUCAACGACCCGUCUUGAAACACGGACCAAGGAGUCGUCUUCGUAUGCGAGUGUUCGGGUGUCAAACCCCUACGCGUAAUGAAAGUGAACGCAGGUGAGAGCUUCGGCGCAUCAUCGACCGAUCCUGAUGUUCUCGGAUGGAUUUGAGUAAGAGCAUACGGGGCCGGACCCGAAAGAAGGUGAACUAUGCCUGUGUAGGGUGAAGCCAGAGGAAACUCUGGUGGAGGCUCGCAGCGGUUCUGACGUGCAAAUCGAUCGUCAAACAUGGGCAUGGGGGCGAAAGACUAAUCGAACCUUCUAGUAGCUGGUUUCCGCCGA